rnacentral:misc_RNA from 1 species
GAUGAAGAACGUAGCGAAAUGCGAUAAGUAAUGUGAAUUGCAGAAUUCAGUGAAUCAUCGAAUCUUUGAACGCACAUUGCGCCCGCCAGUAUUCUGGCGGGCAUGCCUGUUCGAGCGUCAUUACAACCCUCAGGCCCCCGGGCCUGGCGUUGGGGAUCGGCGGAAGCCCCCUGUGGGCACACGCCGUCCCUCAAAUACAGUGGCGGUCCCGCCGCAGCUUCCAUUGCGUAGUAGCUAACACCUCGCAACUGGAGAGCGGCGCGGCCAUGCCGUAAAACACCCAACUUCUGAAUGUUGACCUCGAAUCAGGUAGGAAUACCCGCUGAACUUAAGCAUAUCAAUAAGCGUAGGA